rnacentral:lncRNA from 1 species
AAGAUUACACAAAGGGGAUUUGUAUUAAUAAAUUUAUAUUUGAACAAAAAAAACUGCUGCUCAACCAUGGAGGUUGGCGGAACUGGCGAUGCAUCAUUCUCGACAAGUGUGAUUUCGGCUGGUAAGCGAUGCGAGAUUUGCCUAUGACAUAUUACAAACCCGUAGUCGUUGACUUAUUGUGGGCUUAGUGGACAGCCCAAAACUUUGAUCCCAUGGUGGUUCCUGUACAAAAGCCCCAUAAAUUAAUUGAACUUCU